ACGAGCCGCCAGCGUGAUUUUUCCCUGACCCCUGCCAACCCUAGCCGCCGCACAAACGCCAAUCGCCGCCGGCUGUCGAUCGCUUCCCCGCGUCCCCUCGUGUGUCCUUCGCCUCCCUCUGCUCGAGGCCUCCUCAUCUCGCGCUGCCAAGAGCGACUCCUGGUCUCAGCAGCCGCCCUCACCUCCCUCUCUCUCCAACCAGCCCCGCUCUCCUCUCGCAUCACACAGGCGGCGGCUCAACAUAUGCUGCCGGGUUUGGCAUAUGUGGCAUCUGUGUUGUGCUUCGGCCGGCUGGUUGUGUGUGAUGUGUGCGGCUGGAUGUGCGUCCGUGUUUAUGUGUGUGGAGGAAGUCGAUGGUUGCAGGCAGAGGAAGCUGCUGGUUGCUGGCAGAGGAGGAUUAUGAUAGUUCCCUUGCUCUUUGCCAGAAAAAUUGAUAUUUCUCUUGAUUUGUUCUAGUCUGGAUUAGUACAAAAGUGCACUGAUAUUUGCUUUGUGGUGCAGGAGUUUCAAGACAGCAGGUUUAGCAGGGAUCAAUUGCAACCUUCGUUUAUCUUCUGUUAUGUGAACCAAUUUGUGAUGGCUUCUAAAAGCACAUGGCUGGUACAGAGCAAUUUUUACAUCAGAGCCGUCGUUUCUGUCGACUUCGCCGCCGUCGACUUCGCCGCAAGACAAUCUGCCAUUGCCUCCGCCGACUUUGCCGUAAGAUCAUCAGCCGUCGCCUGGACGUACUUUGGCGCAGGAACCUGAAGGAAAGCGGCAACAAAAGCAAGAUCCAAAGGCGCAGUCGUGCAAGGUCGAACCAUCCAUAAAGAUCCUCUUCCUACAGCUAUGACAACUGUGGCAAGACCUUUGUUAAUGUGGCUGCCUUGAGGAAGCAUGCUCAUGUACAUGGCGAGAGAUGCAAUAUGUUUUUUCAGGAGCCUGGCUAUUUGAAGCUUGACGAUGCCGUGGUCGCCCCACCGAUCAAAUCCCCGCACACACGCAACAACUCAACUCUAUGGUUUGUACACCACCACCGCUUGAGCAGCCCGGCGAACGAUUUAGGUAAUGUAUCUGUAUAAUAUAAUCCUCCAUUACCAUGCACAAAGACUUUGAUUUAAUUUUAGAUCAGUUUAGUUCAGUGUGGUGAUGCUCAGCAUAAUAAGGUGUUGUGUUGUUAUAUUGAAAUAAAUGAUUCAGCAGAGGUGAAUGGUCUCUCUGACUGAUGUUGCCAGUUGCAUCACAUACUUGCUAGCUUCCCAAAUGCAGUAAGCAAUGAGUAAUUUCCAAAUGUAGCAGUGAAGACACUCAUUUUCAGAGCAGCUAUACUCACAUGUGCCCUGAACCAUUUAAUUGCUUUAAUUCCUGAACAAAUGUAGGUUGGUUCUCUUGCUUUUUACCAUGGUAACUUUGUAAACAUCAGAAGGCCUAAAUUUGGCAGCACACUCACUCGCUCAACAAUGAGCACUGGAGUCUAAAGCUUUGCUAUUGGCUGAAGAACAUCAAGGUCUUCAUUACAUGAUUAUUAGUUUCUUAAAUAUUUGUAUAAUAUCAGAGUACUUUUUAGUUACAGAUUUGGCAAUACCCAGGACAUUAUUCUCCAGUCCAACUAUUGGCUUUCAAGGUGGCAGUGUGAGACAUUGUCGCUAUCACAGGAUCAUGUGGCAACGUAUUUGGUUUUUUGUUGAAAUAUGAUGGAGAUGGCUCUUUUGUAGUUAGAUGUGACUGCCACUCUCAUACCAAAUACUUUGAUGAUGAUACCUACUGGCGGGGAGGGGGUGGGGGGGGGGGGGGGGGUCAAAAUGCAGUUGUUGCAAACAUGAGUGAAGAUGACUGUACGUGGCAUAUGUAUGAUAUUGUCAAAGAAAGUGAUUGGCAUGGCAAGUUUACGUGAGAAACAGUUAAAGAAAUUGCAUGGAAGAUGUUUCAAGAGUAAAGUCAAUGUGUGAGAGAAGAUUGAUGAGCACCAAUAUUAUAUAGUGUAUCAUACUUUUAUAUAUUUGUCAUAAAGAAAAUACUUUGUUCUUUUC